rnacentral:rRNA from 1 species
GAUACCCUGUUAUUUUAAUAUAAAUUAAUAAAUUAAGGUAUUAAUAGAUAUAUUCUUUAAACUUAAAAAAUUUGGCGGUAUUUUAGUCUAUUCAGAGGAACCUGUUUUAUAAUCGAUAAUCCACGUUGUACCUUACUUAAGUUUGUAAUCAGUUUAUAUACCGUUGUUAUUAUUUUGAAUAUUUUAUAAGAAAGUUAAUUUUCAUAAUUUUUUAUAAAAAAAUAUAUCAAAUCAAGGUGUAGCUUAUAUUUAAGAAAAAAUGGGUUACAAUAAAAUUAUUUAUAUGAAUAAAAAUUUGAAAUAUUUAAUUGAAAUUGGAUUUGAUAGUAAAAUUAUAUAGAUUAAUAAUUUGAUUUGAGCUCUAAAAUAUGUACAAAUCGCCCGUC